rnacentral:rRNA from 1 species
CAGCAGCCGCGGGAAUACGGAGGAUCCAAGCGUUAUCCGGAUUUAUUGGGUUUAAAGGGUGCGUAGGUGGCCUGUUAAGUCAGGGGUGAAAGACGGUAGCUUAACUAUCGCAGUGCCCUUGAUACUGAUGGGCUUGAAUGAACUAGAGGUAGGCGGAAUGUGACAAGUAGCGGUGAAAUGCAUAGAUAUGUCACAGAACACCAAUUGCGAAGGCAGCUUACUAUGGUUUUAUUGACACUGAGGCACGAAAGCGUGGGGAUCAAACAGGAUUAGAUACCCCCGUAGUCCCUGUCUCUUAUAC